rnacentral:rRNA from 1 species
UACAGAGGUCCCAAGCGUUGUUCGGAUUCAUUGGGCGUAAAGGGUGCGUAGGUGGCGCCGUAAGUCAGGUGUGAAAUCUCCGGGCUUAACUCGGAGCCUGCAGGCGAAACUGUGGUGCUGGAGUGUGGGAGAGGUGCGUGGAAUUCCCGGUGUAGCGGUGAAAUGCGCAGAUAUCGGGAGGAACACCGGUGGCGAAGGCGGUUCUCUGGGCCUUACCUGACGCUGAGGAGCGAAAGCGUGGGGAGCGAACAGG